UUAAGGAUAAGCUAAUUUAAGCUAUUGGGCUCAUAACCCAAAAAUGGUCGGUUCCCGCCUCCUUAAA
rnacentral:tRNA from 1 species